GUUUCUAUUCAUCCCAAUGUGUUUUGUUUAAAAUUUUCUAAAAGGUUUAAGAGCAACAUAAACCACAGCAAUCUAUGUUUUCUACAUGUUCCGGGCCGAUUUAUUAUUGGAUUUUGUUCUCUCUUCUGACAGAUUACACAUUCUCAAGCCAGCUUAUAAAAACAUAAUAAUAGUAACAACAACAACAACAACAACAACAACAACAACAACAACAACAACAACAACAACAACAACAACCUGGUCUGCUUUCCUUCCAAACUGGCAAAUACAGACUGAAGCUCAAUCAAAAAGUGUCAUCCUGUUCUUAGCUGAAGUGAAAAUGAUGCCUGGGUGUUAAAAACAGAAACGUACAAGAAAACACAGGCUCCAUGAAUGAUUCAUGGCAAACAGGAAUCUAGUUGCGUCGCCUGGGAGCUCCAUCCUGCCAAACUGAUGCUGUGAUGUGAUUCAUGCAGUCAGAAUAAAGUGCCAUCAUUUAAAGAGUGACAGGAGCCAACUCUCAUGUGCCACACUGAUGAUUUGGAGCUACUGAUUGAGAGAUCUCUUGCACUGCAAUGAAAGCAUGCGGAGAAACCUAUAAUUUCACCAUUUAAAAACUGGGAAUUGUGGGAGUGGAAACUUCCAUUUCUUGGACACACUUUAAUGAAUUCUACUGUCUGCAAAUAAAAUGAAAGCUCAGA